CGUCCACGUUGGCCAGGCCGCUCCACGCCGGCCGCUCGCGCGCGGUCCUGCCGCGGGUUGCUGAGCGGAGCAUCUGCUGCACUGCUGGGAGCCCUGGCGACCAGCCCUGAACAUAACUGAGCCCUUCUCAUGGAGCUUCACUGCAGAGCAGGCCACAACUAGGAGUAAGAAGUGGAACCUUCUGGAGCUCUGCCUCCACCACGGGACUUCCACCAAGUCUCUGAGGGCUUCCUGAGCACUUCCCCAGGAGCAAGGUAGUUUCCUGCCAGCUGCCCUGAGGGAGAACUCAGGCCUCUCUGCAGGUCUUAGGGGAAUGUGGUAAGUUUUAAGGAAGCAGGGCUUUGCCCUGGGGUGGGUGCAGUCAGGAAUAGAGGUAACUCUAGGGUUGGACAUCUCAGAAAAUCUUAUCUGAAGGAAUGAGGCUAGGGCUGUAAUUUGAGGCAACCCCUCAAAUUAGCUGAAGAUGUUUAGUCAUUUUUUUUUUUUUGUGACACAGACGUUAUUCCUGUGUCCUUUAUGUGUGUUCUUGCAUGAUUAUGGAUGGGUCUCAUUUCUAUCUUGACCUGUUGUGAUCACAGAAUUGCCUUAUCGAGUCAGAAGAGGUUGUGAGCCCAGCCUGCCCCUUGCUCAGGGUCUAUUUCCUCAUCUGUGAACUAGGAAUGAUGAAGUGUUCUCCAAGGUUCUUGAGAGGAUUUAACCUAUACAAUUCUUGGAGGUCAAUGCAUGUUAUGAAAGGAAAAUGAUGCUGAGGGCUGAAGAGAACAUACCCAGAUAUAUAUUUUCCCUCUCUUGCUGUGCAUCACUUGAGACAGAAACCCUGGAGUCUGACCUGCAGUUUUACAAUGGAGGCACCUGGGUACUCAGAAUAAUAAAUAAGCUUUCUUACUGGGUAAACACACCUGUUUUUUUUACCCCAUUCCAAAAGAACAACCCCCAGAUGCAAAUUACUUUAUUUAUUAGAAGCAUAUUUACAUUCUCACAGUUAACUUUGCAGAGAACAUCUUACAAAAACUUCAUAAAUUUGGAAACCAUGUAAAAAUAACUUCUUCAUAAAGGGAAAUAUAAGUUAAUGGACUGAAGGGAGAAACAU